AGCGGGCUCCGGAGUUGGUCUGUGUACGGUGACGUCGUGAAGGAUGGAGUCAAGGGCCGUGUCUUGGUGCUGAGCAGUUGGAAUUCAGGGGUUCCCAAAAAAAGAGGAAGAGAGGGCCUCCCCCCGCAGCCCAUUCCCAGAUCGAGAAAACGGGGGGCCCGAAGAGCGAGGGGAGAUGGGUCAUAGGCUUGGUUCUCCAUCCUCAUUUAGUUUGGUGUCAAUAGAUCUGCAGAUGAGAUGACGGAGGCCCAGUGAAGUGAAGUCGUCUUGGAGAAGAUGUGCCUUCAGUAAGGCUGUGAAGGUGGGCAGACGUUACAGAGGUAUGAUUUGUUUAAUGGGAGAGGUCGUCUCCUCCUCCAGUUGGGGGUCUCGACGCGGGAGAUUAAUAGGGUGUCUCCUGCGGCCACAGCCUGGGGCAAAAGUCACCUUUUAUUUUUGGUUUUUCGGGUGUUCUGUCAUGAAUUCAGAUGAAAGGGGUUCCAGGCCAGAGAGAUUGACUUCCUAUUUUACAGAUGAGGUAACUGAGGGACAGAGAAGU